AUAUAAGCAAACCAAUUGUUGAAGCAAAACACAAUAAAGCAAAACAAUCCAUUAAGCAAAACAGUUGUUGAAGCAAUAAAGCAAAACAAUAAGCAAAAGCAAAACAAUUGUUGAUGCACUAAAUCAAAACAGCAGCAGCGUCACAUGUAGCGUCUUCGGCUAGGGGUUUGUCUUAGAGAAGACAUAGCUCAACUUCCCACUCUCACCAUUAAAUUGAACAAACACCAGACGCGAAGUUGUAUGAUUACUCACAGCCACCGGCUAAAUGUUGCGAUCACUUUACGCGAUCUCCAGCGCCAAUUCGCCUCAAUGCACACGCCACCAGCGCCGCUCUAAGACUGAAUGGAAGUGGGAACCGGGAAUGCCAGGGGAGCGAGGGACUCGGAAUCACCAAGACAUAUAUCUGCUUACCAAACUAAGGGUCCUUAAAUAAUCUGGUAGAUCUCAUCCUAUUGGUCUGCCGAAACCAUAUGCCAAGCAGAACCAAUAGGACAGCCAAAUCACUUACCCUGCCACACUAAGCACGCUAGCAAAUCCACCAAAGAAUGGCUCAAAAAGGAGAAAAUGAGAGUUAUGGAAUGGCCUAGUAAAGCCGGGAUUUGAAUCACAUUGAAAUGUUGUGGGGGGAUUUGAAACGUCCAGUACAUGCAAGAAAACCCUCAAACAUCUUGUAACUGAAAGAAUAUUGCAUGGAAGACCAGUCAAAAUUUCCAGUAAGCCCGGUGCACAAUUAUGCAAAACAUCUACAAGAAGUUAUCUCUGCUAAAGGGCGCAAUACUAGCUUCUGAGGCCAAGAGUGUACUUACUUUUUCCACAGAAGAAUCACAUCUAUUGAUAUUUCCGUUGAAUAAAUGAUUGAAAAAGCUCAUUUUCCUUGUGGUUUUGUUCAAGCAUAUCAAUAUCAUUAAAAGAUGAUCAAAUUUCCAAAAUUUCCAUGGGGUGUACUUAUUUUUUCACAUGACUGUAUGUGUCAGCUGUCACGGAUUCCCCUUUAAGCAGUGCGCUGGAGAGCAUGUGGGCGUGCGUGCGUGCGUGCACGAGCAAGGUGCGCGAGCACCCGCUUUUCGUCUGAUGACAAUCAUGACAUUGUGUACAUUGGACAUGUGCUUUUUGUUAUGUUUCUGUUAGGUCUCCUCCCUGUUCUGUCAUUGGCAGUUAUUUCACGUGUGUCUAGAUUGGUGUCAGACGUCAGCAAUUGACGCUGAUCAUGUGUGUUUAUAUACCGCGCGCCUCCCAGCACACGGCACGGAAUAUUAUAGUAGA
ensembl:lncRNA